rnacentral:tRNA from 1 species
GGGCGAUUAGCUCAGUUGGUAGAGNNGUCGGGAGUUCGAGUCUCUCAUCGCCCACCA